rnacentral:rRNA from 1 species
GUGCCAGCCGCCGCGGUAAGACAGAGGGUGCAAACGUUGUUCGGAAUUACUGGGCGUAAAGCGCGUGUAGGCUGUCUCGAAAGUCGGAUGUGAAAGCCCUGGGCUCAACCUAGGAAGUGCAUUCGAAACUUCGAGACUCGAGUCCUGGAGAGGAUCGCGGAAUUCUCGGUGUAGAGGUGAAAUUCGUAGAUAUCGAGAGGAACACCGGUGGCGAAGGCGGCGAUCUGGACAGUGACUGACGCUGAGACGCGAAAGCGUGGGGAGCAAACAGGAUUAGAUACCCUUGUAGUCC